rnacentral:tRNA from 1 species
GCCUGCGUAGCUCAGCGGCAGAGCGGCCCUCUUAUAAGGGGUUGGUCGCGCGUUCGAAUCGCGCCGCAGGCA